GGAAGUCGCAGUAGGGCCGCCUCCAUCAACGAAUCAUCAGACUCCGAGGAAGAGGACCGCCCCCGUGAGGUGGAGCCAGAGGCAUUCAAGCCGAUUCCAGAGGAAACCCUGCAAACGACGGAAGCGCUAAUGGGCAGCCAAGAGGAAGAGGAUCCGAACCAAAGACAGACGUGAUUCAGCAUU